rnacentral:rRNA from 1 species
CAGCCGCCGCGGUAAUACGAAGGGGGCUAGCGUUACUCGGAAUUACUGGGCGUAAAGGGCGCGUAGGCGGCACGAUUAGUCAGGCGUGAAAUUCCUGGGCUCAACCUGGGGACUGCGCUUGAUACGGUCGAGCUAGAGGAUGGAGGAGGGUUGUGGAAUUCCCAGUGUAGAGGUGAAAUUCGUAGAUAUUGGGAAGAACACCGGUGGCGAAGGCGGCAACCUGGUCCAUUACUGACGCUGAGGCGCGACAGCGUGGGGAGCAAACAGGAUUAGAUACCCCGGUAGUCCCUGUCUCUUAUAC